rnacentral:rRNA from 1 species
GAUGAACGCUGGCGGCGUGCCUAAUACAUGCAAGUCGAGCGAACAGACGAGGAGCUUGCUCCUCUGACGUUAGCGGCGGACGGGUGAGUAACACGUGGAUAACCUACCUAUAAGACUGGGAUAACUUCGGGAAACCGGAGCUAAUACCGGAUAAUAUAUUGAACCGCAUGGUUCAAUAGUGAAAGACGGUUUUGCUGUCACUUAUAGAUGGAUCCGCGCGGCAUUAGCUAGUUGGUAAGGUAACGGCUUACCUAGGCGACGAUGCGUAGCCGACCUGAGAGGGUGAUCGGCCACACUGGAACUGAGACACGGUCCAGACUCCUACGGGAGGCAGCAGUAGGGAAUCUUCCGCAAUGGGCGAAAGCCUGACGGAGCAACGCCGCGUGAGUGAUGAAGGUCUUCGGAUCGUAAAACUCUGUUAUUAGGGAAGAACAAAUGUGUAAGUAACUAUGCACGUCUUGACGGUACCUAAUCAGAAAGCCACGGCUAACUACGUG